rnacentral:rRNA from 1 species
CCUACGGGAGGCAGCAGUAGGGAAUAUUGCUCAAUGGGGGAAACCCUGAAGCAGCAACGCCGCGUGGAGGAUGAAGGUUUUAGGAUUGUAAACUCCUUUUGUGAGAGAAGAUAAUGACGGUAUCUCACGAAUAAGCACCGGCUAACUCCGUGCCAGCAGCCGCGGUAAUACGGAGGGUGCAAGCGUUACUCGGAAUCACUGGGCGUAAAGAGUGCGCAGGCGGGCUUGUAAGUCAGAUGUGAAAUCCUGUAGCUUAACUACAGAACUGCAUUUGAAACUAUGAGUCUAGAGUGUGGGAGAGGUAGGUGGAAUUCUUGGUGGAGGGGUAAAAUGCGUAGAUAUCAAGAGGAAUACUCAUGGCGAAGGCGACCUACUGGAACAUUACUGACGCUCAUGCACGAAAGCGUGGGGAGCAAACAGGAUUAGAUACCCCGGUAGUC